UGCUUUGAUGUUUUUAGUGGUUAAAAUUGUAUUUUUGGAAUCGUAUAAGAAUCGAUUACUUAGCAGUCAUACUUAGCAUCCUUACUGGUUAACUGUAGGCCUAGACUGCCGCAAUUUUUUAAAUGGAUCGUGUGGUGUAAUAUGACAGUACCAGGUCCAGGUCACCCAUCAUAUCUCCAACCCAGUUGUUCCAUCCCAGCAGAUGAAACCUAGAGGUCAUCGACUGCUAGAUUACCCUGAUUCCUGGAGAUGCUCCGUAAGGGGAAAGGGAACGUCCGCCCGGCAAAGGGACGAUGAUUUCAUCAGAAAUGAAGUGCCCAAUUCACAUGGCCCUGUGGCAGUGUGGUCGGCGAGCGACAACGUGGAAAACUGAAAAGAUUGGUGACGGAACGGGGGUUAGAGAAUCCCUACACAGCUUGUGGGAUUGUGGCUAAAAUGGCACGCAAAGAGAUCGUAGGAGGUAGAUUGCAGAUUGGCGGAGUAAAGGUGAGUUACUUGACUUUGUGCAUUUAUAGUCGGUACUGGUAUAUUGUACCCUUUCUUUUUCCGGUGCACGUGUGAAGAGGUUUGUGCUGGACUUCGAAGCCGCAACGUGGCAAGCACUUUCUUCAGUAUGGUCGGACGUUGAAAAGCAGGGCUGCUCUUCUCACUUCACCCAGGCCAUAACAGCAUAAUGAAGAAUGUGCGCCACAAUAGUUUGGCUCGCCUAUACAAUAAAGGAGUAGUUAAACAUAUUUAUAUAUGUCCUUGUAUAUGUCUACGGAGCGUUAUCUGUGAAGUGUGAACUCUCUUCUUCGGAGGUGUUUAAGGAUCUACGGGCCGCAGUAUUGCAAAGAGCAUGUUUGUAAUCGGUAUAAUCUUGACGAUGAGAUCUGGGACUUUCUCGACAUAUUCGACGGAUACUCAGCUGUGUUCGGACUUGUUUCCGUCGCACUCUUCGAAACAAUUGCAGUUGCUUGGGUCUUCAAACUAGUGAACUUCGAAAAUGAGAGAAUGAUUCAUUCAACACCGUCAUCAUGAUUGGAAGCUUCGUGGACAUGUUCUUCAACCCUCUGCUCUGUUACUACGCUUGGAACAAAGACACCGACUCGAAAGACGAGUUAUCUUAUCCACCAUGGGCCGUGUUUAUAUAAUGGUAAUAUUGAUACUAAGCUCGAUGUUCUGUAAUCCAUUAUUUGGGGGUCUUGUACGUUUUGGAAUUUUCGACCCGAUUUCUAACAGGAGAAAUAAAAGAGCUGAACAGAAUGAUAACGAGGCAUAUUAGUAAAUAUCAGGGGUAGGCUGGGCAUUUUCGAAUAUCUGUUGAUUUCAGAAUCGAAUGUUUUUUCGAAUCGAAUCUUGAAUACUUCGCAGUCAAUGGGAGAUAUGUAAUUGUAUGAGUCUUUUUUACUGUACUGAAUGAAUGUCAACAAAUGAUUUACUGAAAACAUAGAAUUAAUCAAUAAGACAGAUUGCUGAGUGUUCUCACACAAUGAAAAACACUUAUUUAUCAAUAACUCAGUACGGAAAAUGGUCAAAUGUCAGAAUUGCAUUGAAAAAAUAUGACUUCAAUGAAAAAAAAAAAACAUUGACAAGACAUCGUCUCAUUUGGCGACACACUCUCGUAUUCAAGCACCGAAUUUUUCGUUUGAGUAGCGCAGUAUUUUUUGGUCGACUACUGACUUGUUUAAUGAUCAAGUCGUUUGGCUACCGAGGUGUCACUGUACUUUCUUUAAUAUUGUUUUCUAUGAAAGCUUCAGUAUGAUAGCUAAUCUGGUAUGAACCUUUAAAAACCAAGUUUUUCACAAAAUUGAUCUUUAGUUGAGCGGCAGUUUGUGGGUUUAUAAUCUAUGACAAAAUUCUGUCGAAAUCACAAUGCUUCCAACAAAUACACUACCUCUGAUUUAUAUACUGUGCUUAGAUACCUUGAAAUUUAUUUUUCCAUCUAUUGUACAAUGUUUUACCCUGUUUAUAUUUGCUAUUGAUUCUUCUGUGUCUGCUUUCUAUUGAAGCUUUUUCUUAUUUCCCAUUGAAAUGUAUUGUUUUUGUCUUGUUCUUAAUUGUUUUAAAUGAUUUUUUUUCUGUGAUUGGCACAAGAUAUUUAUGCUAGUUUUUACUGAUCCAAAAGUCGUUAAUAUUUGAAUCCGUUCCAAAUCAUUCAAAACUUGAUAUUCUACAAUAUACACAAGUCUUUUGUAAAACUUAUGAACGACUUUCUCUAAUAUACCCAAUUUGCUAUUCCAACCAAGGUUAUUUGUUUUAUUGUUAUUUUCCAAUGAAGCUCUCUUUUCUGUUUCCCAUUGAAAUGUAGUGUCUGUUUCACUUUUAUAUAUUUGUCGUCUGAAUCAGUUUUGUCACAAUCCCCAAACUUCAAUCUAAAGCAGUGAUUCUCAAAUUUUUUAAGCCACGUUUUUAGAAUUUGUCAAGUCUCUUGCCCUACCUCAAAAAUAACUAGCUAACAAUAAGCUACGUGGGGCGAAAGUAUGUUUUAUUCAAAAAACCACGUUGGAAAUACAAGGAUGGAAUGUAAAUAGAAAAAUGAGGGCAAGAGCAAAUCCAACAUAUUUUUUUAUUUUAAUUAGCUUCAAGCUCCUUCAAAAAAUUGUCUAUGCCCUUCUUGUGGGGCGUGGGCCGUUGUAUGAGAUCUAAAGUCAAUCUAAAUUGCCACUGGUAGAGCAUAUAAUCGAACCAAUUACCGUCCUAUACACAUAACCUUACACUCAAAUUGGAAUGAAAACUAUCGCUCCUUAGAAUAUCUUUAUUUUUGAGUAAAGACUUGAAGUUGUUGAGAAAUCUGUGAAGUUGUUGAAAAAUCUGUGAACGUCCUGUGUAGACAUCUUGCUAAACCCUAUAAAACUAUGCUGCAUUUUAUUGCUUCUAAUGAUAAGUUCGCCCAAAUGAAUUUUAUUGGACACGUUUAGUGGACAUAACGAUCGUUUCAAUAUUAUGUUGUUAUUGUUAUUUGUCUCCAUCAUUUUUAAAAAAUUGCUUUUUUCUUGGAAU